GAGAUCCUAGCUUAAUUAAAGUACCUGGGUUGCAUUCAGGAGAUGCAGGGUAAAAUCCUGUGGAUCUUA
rnacentral:tRNA from 1 species